rnacentral:rRNA from 1 species
UCGCGGCCUAUCAGCUUGUUGGUGAGGUAAUGGCCCACCAAGGCUACGACGGGUAGCUGGUCUGAGAGGACGAUCAGCCACAUUGGGAGUGAGAUACGGCCCAGACUCCUACGGGAGGCAGCAGUAGGGAAUAUUGCGCAAUGGCCGCAAGGCUAACGCAGCGACGCCGCGUGUGGGAUGACGGCCUUCGGGUUGUAAACCACUGUCAGGGGGGACGAAUACUCGGCCUCGAAUAGGGGAUCGAGGGUGACGGUACCCCCAGAGGAAGCACCGGCCAAUUCGGUGCCAGCAGCCGGGGUAAGACGGAGGGUGCAAGCGUUGUCCGGAUUCACUGGGGGUAAAGGAGUCGGAGGAGGUUGUUUAAGUCAUAGGUGAAAGCCCGGGGGUCAACUCCGGGGCUGCAGGCGAAACUGGAGGUACUAGAAAUCGGUAGAGGCGAGUAGAAUAACCGUUGGUGCGGUGGAAAAAGUAUAUAUACGGAAAAAUACCUGUGGCGAAAGGGGGUGUCGGGGCAGAAGCGGACGCCCAUCGUGAAAAAUUUGGGGGGCAAACCUGAUGGGGGACUCGGGUAGUCCUCUCAGUAAACGAGGGAUAC